GCCGGGGUGCCCGAGCGGUUUAAGGGGCUGGCCUUGAGAGCCAGUGGGCAGGAGCCCGCGCGGGUUCGAAUCCCGCCCCCGGCGCCA
rnacentral:tRNA from 1 species